CUGGCGGCGUGCCUAAUACAUGCAAGUCGAGCAGGACCGACGGGAGCUUGCUCCCUUAGGUCAGCGGCGGACGGGUGAGUAACACGUGGGUAACCUGCCUGUAAGACUGGGAUAACUCCGGGAAACCGGGGCUAAUACCGGAUGCUUGAUUGACCCGCCAUGGUUCAAUCAUAAAAGGUGCCUUUUAGCUACCACUUACAGAUGGACCCGCGGCGCAUUAGCUAGUUGGUGAGGUAACGGCUCACCAAGGCGACGAUGCGUAGCCGACCUGAGAGGGUGAUCGGCCACACUGGGACUGAGACACGGCCCAGACUCCUACGGGAGGCAGCAGUAGGGAAUCUUCCGCAAUGGACGAAAGUCUGACGGACCAACGCCGCGUGAGUGAUGAAGGUUUUCGGAUCGUAAAACUCUGUUGUUGGGGAAGAACAAGUACCGUUCGAAUAGGGCGGUACCUUGACGGUACCUAACCAGAAAGCCACGGCUAACUACGUGCCAGCAGCCGCGGUAAUACGUAGGUGCAAGCGUUGUCCGAAAUUUUUGGGCAUAAAGCGCGCGCAGGCGGUUACUUAAGUCUGAUGUGAAAGCCCCCGGCUCAACCGGGGAGGGUCAUUGGAAACUGGGGAACUUGAGUGCAGAAGAGAGAGUGGAAUUCCACGUGUAGCGGUGAAAUGCGUAGAGAUGUGGAGGAACACCAGUGGCGAAGGCGACUCUCUGGUCUGUAACUGACGCUGAGGCGCGAAAGCGUGGGGAGCGAACAGGAUUAGAUACCCU
rnacentral:rRNA from 1 species